GGAAACGGGAGAUGUAGGCUUUGCCUGCUAUCUCUUACCCAUGUCUUUUGAGUACCUUACGUUUCCUCGGCGGGUCCGCCCGCCGAUUGGACAAUUUAAACCAUUUGCAGUUGCAAUCAGCGUCUGAAAAAACUUAAUAGUUACAACUUUCAACAACGGAUCUCUUGGUUCUGGCAUCGAUGAAGAACGCAGCGAAAUGCGAUAAGUAGUGUGAAUUGCAGAAUUCAGUGAAUCAUCGAAUCUUUGAACGCACAUUGCGCCCCUUGGUAUUCCAUGGGGCAUGCCUGUUCGAGCGUCAUUUGUACCUUCAAGCUCUGCUUGGUGUUGGGUGUUUGUCUCGCCUCUGCGUGUAGACUCGCCUCAAAACAAUUGGCAGCCGGCGUAUUGAUUUCGGAGCGCAGUACAUCUCGCGCUUUGCACUCAUAACGACGACGUCCAAAAGUACAUUUUUACACUCUUGACCUCGGAUCAGGUAGGGAUACCCGCUGAACUUAAG
rnacentral:rRNA from 1 species